AUUGAACGCUGGCGGCAGGCCUAACACAUGCAAGUCGAGCGGCUGCAGGGAGCUUGCUCCUGGAUUCAGCGGCGGACGGGUGAGUAAUGCCUAGGAAUCUGCCUGGUAGUGGGGGAUAACGUCCGGAAACGGGCGCUAAUACCGCAUACGUCCUGAGGGAGAAAGUGGGGGAUCUUCGGACCUCACGCUAUCAGAUGAGCCUAGGUCGGAUUGGCUAGUUGGUGGGGUAAAGUCCUACAAGGGCGACGUACCGUAAGUGGUCUGAGAGGAUGAUCAGUCACACUGGAACUGAGACACGGUACAGACUCCUACGGUAGGCCGCAGUGGGGAAUCUUGGACAAUGGGCGAAAGCCUGAUCCAGCCAUGCCGCGUGUGUGAAGAAGGUCUUCGGAUUGUAAAGCACUUUAAGUUGGGAGGAAGGGCAGUAAGUUAAUACCUUGCUGUUUUGACGUUACCAACAGAAUAAGCACCGGCUAACUUCGUG
rnacentral:rRNA from 1 species